rnacentral:rRNA from 1 species
UGGGGAAUUUUGCACAAUGGGGGAAACCCUGAUGCAGCGACGCCGCGUGAUUUAGAAGGCCUUCGGGUUGUAAAAAUCUUUUCUAUGGGAAGAAAAUGACAGUACCAUAGGAAUAAGGACCGGCUAAUUACGUGCCAGCAGCCGCGGUAAUACGUAAGGUCCGAGCGUUGUCCGGAAUCAUUGGGCGUAAAGGGUACGUAGGCGGGUAAGCAAGUUAGAAGUGAAAUCCUAUAGCUCAACUAUAGUAAGCUUUUAAAACUGCUCAUCUUGAGGUAUGGAAGGGAAAGUGGAAUUCCUAGUGUAGCGGUGACAUGCGCAGAUAUUAGGAGGAAUACCGGUGGCGAAGGCGACUUUCUGGCCAUAACCUGACGCUGAGGUACGAAAGCGUGGGUAGCAAACAGG